rnacentral:misc_RNA from 1 species
GAAAUGCGAUAAUUAAUGUGAAUUGCAGAAUUCAGUGAAUCAUCGAGUCUUUGAACGCACAUUGCGCCCCCUGGUAUUCCGGGGGGCAUGCCUGUCGAGCGUCAUUGCUGCCCUCAAGCACGGCUUGUGUGUUGGGCUUCCGUCCCUGGCAACGGGGACGGGCCCAAAAGGCAGUGGCGGCACCAUGUCUGGUCCUCGAGCGUAUGGGGCUUUGUCACCCGCUCCCGUAGGUCCAGCUGGCAGCUAGCCUCGCAACCAAUCUUUUUAACCAGGUUGACCUCGGAUCAGGUAGGGAUACCCGCUGAACUUAAGC